rnacentral:rRNA from 1 species
GAUGAACGCUGGCGGCGUGCCUAAUACAUGCAAGUCGAGCGAACAGAUGAGGAGCUUGCUCCUCUGACGUUAGCGGCGGACGGGUGAGUAACACGUGGAUAACCUACCUAUUAGACUGGGAUAACUUCGGGAAACCGGAGCUAAUACCGGAUAAUAUAUUGAACCGCAUGGUUCAAUAGUGAAAGACGGUUUUGCUGUCACUUAUAGAUGGAUCCGCGCCGCAUUAGCUAGUUGGUAAGGUAACGGCUUACCAAGGCAACGAUGCGUAGCCGACCUGAGAGGGUGAUCGGCCACACUGGAACUGAGACACGGUCCAGACUCCUACGGGAGGCAGCAGUAGGGAGUCUUCCGCAAUGGGCGAAAGCCUGACGGAGCAACGCCGCGUGGGUGAUGAAGGUCUUCGGAUCGUAAAACUCUGUUAUUAGGGAAGAACAAAUGUGUAAGUAACUAUGCACGUCUUGACGGUACCUAAUCAGAAAGCCACGGCUAACUACGUG